CUAGGGACAGAGGAGCCUGUUGGGCUUCCGUCUAUGGGGUCGCACAGAGGUCGGCCACGACUGAAGCGACUUAGCAGCAGCAGCAGCAGAACAUUGGUUGACAAAGCCUAAUGAUAUGGCCAUCUCCAUUUGUCUAGCCCCUGGUUCUCUUGUUUUCAACACUUUAUUUGUUUUUGGCUUCACUGAGUCUUCAUUGCUUUGCAUGGGCUUUCUGUAGUUGCGGUGAGCUGGGACCUGCUCCUUGUUGCGUUGCACAGGCUUCUCAUUGCAGUGGCUUCUCUUGUUGCAGAGCACAGGCUCUAGGCCUGGGCUUCAGUAGUUGCAGCACAUGGGCUCAGUAGUUGUGGCACACGGGCUUAGUUGCUCUGCAGCACGUGGGAUCUUCCCAGAUCAGGGACCAAAUCUGUGUUCCCUGCAUUGGCAGGUAGAGUUUUAUCUGCUGCACCACCAGGGAAGUCCUAGCCACCGUUUCUUAAUAAGAAGUAAGCAGUGGAUGCUUCUUUAAAAACAUGGCCAAAUUUUAAAGCAUACCUCCUGGAUCAGAAAUUUGGAGAGAGCAGCCCAUAGAUGGAUAUCAUGAGGGUAAAUAAACUUGAGAGAUUCUCAUUUUCCUGUAAGAUUUUACUGUCAUGCUAAUAAGGCCUAAAAUGACAUUUAAAAAAUCCUGCCACCUAACUUUAUUGGUUCAUACUAAUCUUAUCAUCUGAUACUGUUAUGACUUUUUGAUAAAAUGAUUACUGAGAUAGGUGUCCCUACUCAUGUACAUUUUCAGUUGUUUAUUUCUGUUCAAUGAGCACUUGUUGAGUGCCUGAUAUGUUCUAGGUACUGUGGACAAGAUGGUGAAUGAGAUAAAAUACAUAUUUCUUUAGAGCUUAUAUUCUAAUGAGCCAGAAAACAACCAAGUAUGCAGAAGCAUCUCUUCUUAAGAAGUGGUGAAUGCUGUGGAAAAAAAAAAAAUGAAGCGGAGAAGAAUAACAGAUAGGGUAUUGCGAGCUAUAUGCAUAGAAUGUUCAGAGAAGGCUGGGGAGGUACCAGUGAGGAGAGUCCUGAAUAAGGUGAGAGAGCAAGCUUUAGGAAGAUCGAUCCAGGAUGAAAAACAGUCCAGGCAGACAUAACAGCAAGUGCAAAGACCCUGAGGCAAGAAAACUUGAACUGAUACAUUUUAUGUUGGUUUAAAACCAUUGUUUGAUUCUUUAAGACAGUUGGGCUAGUCUUUAAGAAACAUAGGAAUAUAAUUAGAGCCCCAGAGUUGAACUUGGUUGAAAUAAUUUAGGGAUUUCUCAUUAUCGUUUUCUUAGAUUAGCUUCAAUGAUAUUUAGUUUGCCUUUUCUAUUUGCUCUCUGUAGGAGACAAUAAUUAAAGGUUGGAUGGCUGUGCAUCUUCUGUGACAUAUUUUUGGUCUGUGUUUUAAGAAAGGUGCAUUGUCUCCUUAUAAGUGUCUAGAAUCGUCCUGGUGGCUGAGUCAGCCAGAUUGGCGGACCCAGCUCUGGCAUAGCUCUCAGGCAUAUAUCCUGUAUAGCUUUUGACAGAUACCAAUGCUAUGGUGUCCAUCCCCUGCCCAAAGCCAGGGACACAAUAUUCUUUACUCAUUUUCUGGCUCUGAAUGUCUUUUUUUGUUUUUGUUUUUGCAGCCUAACCUUUUUGUCAUCUUUGGCAUUUUCACAGGCUCCAGCUCAUUCCUGGCUUUAGUUAAAGUUUUCUGAAAUUCUUCUUAUAGGUUGAAGCAGCCCAGGGAAGCCUGCUUUCUGCUUACUCAACAGGAAGACCUGCUCUUUUUGUCUCUUUUUCAGUCACCAGCAGAGUAUUUUGAAUCGUUGUGUGGGGAAACCAGUGGUUCCUGUACUUGGAUUGCCAUCAAAAUCACCAGGAAAAUUAAAACAAAACAAAAAAAAACCUUAAAAAGCUUCUGGGGCCCCAUGCCCUGAAAUUCUCAUUCAGUAUGUCUGGAGUGGGACCUGAAAAUUGAGUCUGUUGGUGAUACAGAUAAACAAUGUCAUUUGGAAACUACUAUUUGGAAAUCCCAAAUAGUUAUUUUAAAUUAUUUGUCCUGCACGUAGUGGGUGCUAAAUAGUUGUGGACUUGUAGGAGCUGUCAGUUGACUUCUCUGUCUUGCCUACUGUGUUGUGAGCUCCUUAAAAUAAGACCUAUCUUUUCCGCCUUGUAGAUUCAGUGCACUAGCUGCCGCAUGGAACAGUAAAUGAAUGAUUGUCUGGAUUAACUGAUAAUGAAAAUAUUAGGUUGGUCGACUUUUUUGGGGGUUUUCCAGUACCACCUUAUGGGAAAACCUGAAUGAAAUUUUUGGCCAGCCUAAUAGAAGAAUCCUGUCCUUUGGGCAGAAGGUUAUGGUGGUAGUCGCUGUUGUUUUGAGUUGGAGAACAUUUGCCUAUUACAAUAGACACAUAUUUUAAAAUAAAGAACUCGGGGCCAUUAGCAGUAAUUGUUAUCACGAAUAUUAGAGCAACAGAGAAACACACAGGUGAAUUGUCCUGUAUGUAUUUUUUCAAGUGUUUUAUUUUUAUAUGGGUAAUACCUCUUAUAAAUUCUAAAGGUAUAAAAAAGGCACACAGGGAAAAGUCUUCUUCCUACUCCUGUCCCCCAGCAACCAAUGUCUCCAACCCAGAGGCAGUCAGUGUUUCAGUUCUUUGCCUUUUAAAAGACAAAUGGUAACAGAUUGCAGCUGUUCAACUCCUUGCUUCAUGAUUGUAACUUGGUCAACAUCUGAUAGGAACGGGUACACAAGGAGCUUCUUCUCUCUCUUACAGCUUGAAAGUAUUGCACUAUAAGAGUAUAUCUCAGUUCAUUUUACUAGACCCUUAUUUCUGAAUAUUUAGGUUUCUGUUUCAAACAUUGUCAUCGGUGAAUUACUUUUCUUGUACCUGUGGUUUUGCAUGUGUAUGCCUACACCUAGGAAAUUUUCUAGAGUUCUACUUGCCAGAUCAUUGGACACAUGCCGUGUAAUAUUGUCAACUUGCCAAAGAUGAGGGUUAUAUCAAUUGUCUUUGAACUGUCAUCACAAAGCUCUGGUGGUUUCUCAGAUAUCCAGGACCUGUGGGCUCUGGCCAUCGAGUGUCUGGUCUUCCCAAGUUCUGUAAUAUGUCUUAAUAUGUAAAUUGGUUGAGAUGAGUUCAAGGUAUUUGAAGGGAAUUGGAACUCAGAGAGCUACCUAUGUGUUACUUUCAAGGCUAGGUUUUUAGAAUAUUUCUGUUUAUAGAUUAAAUUCAUCAUUUAUUUAGGAAUAUUUGAUUAAUUAACUACUAAUUAAAAAUCCAAAAAUUUUUCUCAUGGGCAUUUCAUCUGUAUUUCUGCCAUUGACCCUUAGAGGGGGACUUGUGUAUGUAUGAUUAAAGGAGAGAAUUUAGAGAUGGUAGGAAAUAAUGAGGUUGACAGUUGACUAAAACAAUAUAAGUGGGCCUAGAUGGACACCUUGCUUCCUUGUUACACCUACUACUCAUGCCCACUAAUGGGAAUCAGUCUCCUCUUUCUCUUUCCUUUCUCUUUCUUUGAUACGAGAUCAUGAUUGUGGGCAACACUUUCUGGUUGAAUUUCACGUAGAACUAUGCCAGGUCCACUAUCACUUUCUUGUGGUUUGUAUUUCUGUUUGGGAGUUAGUGAUUUUUCCCCCUCAGGUAAUUUUUGUGACAUUAGAAAAUGAUGUCUUUUAUUCCUUCUAUUUAAGUGAUGGCCAUACAUUUUAUGUGAAUUAUCCAAUAUAAUGAUUAAUGUUCAUUGUAACUUGUAAUUAUAACACUGACAGAACUUAGGACCAUGAAUGCUCUAUUUUAAAAUAUGUAUUUAAUUAUUUAAAAUUUGUAUUUCUUCUAAAUAAAAUUCACUUGUUCUGA